rnacentral:rRNA from 1 species
GAUGAACGCUGGCGGCGUGCCUAAUACAUGCAGGUCGAGCGAACAGACGAGGAGCUUGCUCCUCUGACGUUAGCGGCGGACGGGUGAGUAACACGUGGAUAACCUACCUAUAAGACUGGGAUAACUUCGGGAAACCGGAGCUAAUACCGGAUAAUAUAUUGAACCGCAUGGUUCAAUAGUGAAAGACGGUUUUGCUGUCACUUAUAGAUGGAUCCGCGCCGCAUUAGCUAGUUGGUAAGGUAACGGCUUACCAAGGCAACGAUGCGUAGCCGACCUGAGAGGGUGAUCGGCCACACUGGAACUGAGACACGGUCCAGACUCCUACGGGAGGCAGCAGUAGGGAAUCUUCCGCAAUGGGCGAAAGCCUGACGGAGCAACGCCGCGUGAGUGAUGAAGGUCUUUGGAUCGUAAAACUCUGUUAUUAGGGAAGAACAAAUGUGUAAGUAACUAUGCACGUCUUGACGGUACCUAAUCAGAAAGCCACGGCUAACUACGUG